CGAGAGGGGCAAGCGUUAUUCGGAAUUAUUGGGCGUAAAGGGCGCGUAGGCGGCCUGGCAAGUGGAAGGUGAAAUCCCUCGGCUUAACCGAGGAACUGCCUCCCAAACUGCUUGGCUUGAAACCGGGAGAGGUGAGUGGAAUUCCCAGUGUAGCGGUGAAAUGCGUAGAUAUUGGGAGGAACACCAGUGGCGAAGGCGGCUCACUGGACCGGUACUGACGCUGAUGCGCGAAAGCGUGGGGAGCAAACGGGAUUAGAUACCCCGGUAGUCCACGCCGUAAACGAUGAAUGCUUGGUGUAGCGGGUAUCGACCCCUGCUGUGCCGAAGUCAACACAUUAAGCAUUCCGCCUGGGGAGUACGGUCGCAAGGCUGA
rnacentral:rRNA from 1 species